rnacentral:rRNA from 1 species
UACGAAGGGGGCUAGCGUUGCUCGGAAUCAUUGGGCGUAAAGAGCGUGUAGGCGGCUUGGUAAGUCCGCUGUGAAAGUCCAGGGCUCAACCCUGGAAAGCCGGUGGAAACUGUCAAGCUUGAGUCCGGAAGAGGCAGAGGGAAUUUCCGGUGGAGCGGUGAAAUGCGUAGAGAUCGGAAAGAACACCAACGGCGAAAGCACUCUGCUGGGCCGACACUGACACUGAGAGACGAAAGCUAGGGGAGCGAAUGGG